rnacentral:lncRNA from 1 species
UAUGUAAAAAUGUAACUUACUACAACCUGAUAUCUCUACUUAGCAUAAUUAGCAUAAGUAUGAAGCAACUAUGUAUGAAGUAAAAGUCUCCGCUAUCAUAAUGUUCACAAUGCGAAAUAGUAAAGUUCCGUUCUUUACUAUUCUAGUCAGUGUCCAAGUACUACACUAAGUCAUCAUCUGUCCACAUGUCAUAAUGAAUGCUCAAAUCAAAUCUGAAGAGACCCACUCGAAGGCUGUCUAUGGCCCUGAGACCGACCCGUAGGCUGUCUGGCCGGUGCCGAGCCUAGUGGCCCCGUGGUAGUCAUCAUCCCCACCCUAGGAAUGAGCCUGUCCCACGGCAAUCCACUUCGGCGCCCAAUCCCGCACGGCGAAUAUGAAUCGCGAUGGCUAUCUCCGAAGUGCCGGCUUGUAGGGAGCGACCCUCACAAGCAUGUGCGAAUGAGCACAAUGGCAAGUAGUCAAACGAUCUGUCGCAAGUACCAAGUCCUCAUGUCUAA